rnacentral:rRNA from 1 species
GGGUUGUGAGGUUAAGCGACUAAGCGUACACGGUGGAUGCCCUGGCAGUCAGAGGCGAUGAAGGACGUGCUAAUCUGCGAUAAGCGUCGGUAAGGUGAUAUGAACCGUUAUAACCGGCGAUUUCCGAAUGGGGAAACCCAGUGUGUUUCGACACACUAUCAUUAACUGAAUCCAUAGGUUAAUGAGGCGAACCGGGGGAACUGAAACAUCUAAGUACCCCGAGGAAAAGAAAUCAACCGAGAUUCCCCCAGUAGCGGCGAGCGAACGGGGAGCAGCCCAGAGCCUGAAUCAGUGUGUGUGUUAGUGGAAGCGUCUGGAAAGGCGCGCGAUACAGGGUGACAGCCCCGUACACAAAAAUGCACAUGCUGUGAGCUCGAUGAGUAGGGCGGGACACGUGGUAUCCUGUCUGAAUAUGGGGGGACCAUCCUCCAAGGCUAAAUACUCCUGACUGACCGAUAGUGAACCAGUACCGUGAGGGAAAGGCGAAAAGAACCCCGGCGAGGGGAGUGAAAAAGAACCUGAAACCGUGUACGUACAAGCAGUGGGAGCACGCUUAGGCGUGUGACUGCGUACCUUUUGUAUAAUGGGUCAGCGACUUAUAUUCUGUAGCAAGGUUAACCGAAUAGGGGAGCCGAAGGGAAACCGAGUCUUAACUGGGCGUUAAGUUGCAGGGUAUAGACCCGAAACCCGGUGAUCUAGCCAUGGGCAGGUUGAAGGUUGGGUAACACUAACUGGAGGACCGAACCGACUAAUGUUGAAAAAUUAGCGGAUGACUUGUGGCUGGGGGUGAAAGGCCAAUCAAACCGGGAGAUAGCUGGUUCUCCCCGAAAGCUAUUUAGGUAGCGCCUCGUGAAUUCAUCUCCGGGGGUAGAGCACUGUUUCGGCAAGGGGGUCAUCCCGACUUACCAACCCGAUGCAAACUGCGAAUACCGGAGAAUGUUAUCACGGGAGACACACGGCGGGUGCUAACGUCCGUCGUGAAGAGGGAAACAACCCAGACCGCCAGCUAAGGUCCCAAAGUCAUGGUUAAGUGGGAAACGAUGUGGGAAGGCCCAGACAGCCAGGAUGUUGGCUUAGAAGCAGCCAUCAUUUAAAGAAAGCGUAAUAGCUCACUGGUCGAGUCGGCCUGCGCGGAAGAUGUAACGGGGCUAAACCAUGCACCGAAGCUGCGGCAGCGACGCUGAUGCGUUGUUGGGUAGGGGAGCGUUCUGUAAGCCUGCGAAGGUGUGCUGUGAGGCAUGCUGGAGGUAUCAGAAGUGCGAAUGCUGACAUAAGUAACGAUAAAGCGGGUGAAAAGCCCGCUCGCCGGAAGACCAAGGGUUCCUGUCCAACGUUAAUCGGGGCAGGGUGAGUCGACCCCUAAGGCGAGGCCGAAAGGCGUAGUCGAUGGGAAACAGGUUAAUAUUCCUGUACUUGGUGUUACUGCGAAGGGGGGACGGAGAAGGCUAUGUUGGCCGGGCGACGGUUGUCCCGGUUUAAGCGUGUAGGCUGGUUUUCCAGGCAAAUCCGGAAAAUCAAGGCUGAGGCGUGAUGACGAGGCACUACGGUGCUGAAGCAACAAAUGCCCUGCUUCCAGGAAAAGCCUCUAAGCAUCAGGUAACAUCAAAUCGUACCCCAAACCGACACAGGUGGUCAGGUAGAGAAUACCAAGGCGCUUGAGAGAACUCGGGUGAAGGAACUAGGCAAAAUGGUGCCGUAACUUCGGGAGAAGGCACGCUGAUAUGUAGGUGAAGUCCCUUGCGGAUGGAGCUGAAAUCAGUCGAAGAUACCAGCUGGCUGCAACUGUUUAUUAAAAACACAGCACUGUGCAAACACGAAAGUGGACGUAUACGGUGUGACGCCUGCCCGGUGCCGGAAGGUUAAUUGAUGGGGUUAGCCGCAAGGCGAAGCUCUUGAUCGAAGCCCCGGUAAACGGCGGCCG